rnacentral:rRNA from 1 species
GAUUCUGGCUCAGAAUGAACGCUGGCGGCAUGGAUUAGGCAUGCAAGUCGAACGUGCGUCCCUUCGGGGAGAAAGUGGCGAAAGGGUGAGUAACACGUGAGCAACCUGCCUCCGGAUCCGGAAUAAUCCAGGGAAACUUGGGUCUAAAACCGGAUGAAGACAUUGGUCCGCAUGGUCUAAUGUUAAAAUAUUUAUAGUCCGGAGAGGGGCUCGCGGCCCAUUAGCUUGUUGCGGGGUAAUGGCCCACCAAGGCUACGACGGGUAGGUGGUCUGAGAGGAUGGUCACCCACACUGGGACUGAGACACUGCCCAGACUCCUACGGGAGGCUGCAGUCGAGAAUCUUCCGCAAUGGGCGCAAAGCCUGACGGAGCGAUGCCGCGUGAGGGAUGAAGGCCUUCGGGUUGUAAACCUCUGUCAUCCGGGACGAAAACAAUGACGGUACCGGAAAAGGAAGCCACGGCUAACCACGUGCCAGCCGCAGC